rnacentral:rRNA from 1 species
UACAGAGGUCUCAAGCGUUGUUCGGAUUCACUGGGCGUAAAGGGUGCGUAGGCGGCUUUGUAAGUUAGAGGUGAAAGCCCGGGGCUCAACUCCGGAACUGCCUUUAAGACUGCAUCGCUUGAAUCCGGGAGAGGUGAGUGGAAUUCCGAGUGUAGAGGUGAAAUUCGUAGAUAUUCGGAAGAACACCAGUGGCGAAGGCGGCUCACUGGACCGGUAUUGACGCUGAGGUGCGAAAGCGUGGGGAGCAAACAGG